AGUGAACGCUGGCGGUAGGCCUAACACAUGCAAGUCGAACGGCAGCACAGUAAGAGCUUGCUCUUACGGGUGGCGAGUGGCGGACGGGUGAGGAAUACAUCGGAAUCUACUUUUUCGUGGGGGAUAACGUAGGGAAACUUACGCUAAUACCGCAUACGACCUACGGGUGAAAGCAGGGGAUCUUCGGACCUUGCGCGAUUGAAUGAGCCGAUGUCGGAUUAGCUAGUUGGCGGGGUAAAGGCCCACCAAGGCGACGAUCCGUAGCUGGUCUGAGAGGAUGAUCAGCCACACUGGAACUGAGACACGGUCCAGGCUCCUACGGGGGGCAGCAGUGGGGAAUAUUGGACAAUGGGCGCAAGCCUGAUCCAGCCAUACCGCGUGGGUGAAGAAGGCCUUCGGGUUGUAAAGCCCUUUUGUUGGGAAGGAAAAGCAGCAGGUUAAUACCCCGCUGUUCUGACGGUACCCAAAGAAUAAGCACCGGCUAACUUCGUG
rnacentral:rRNA from 1 species